rnacentral:rRNA from 1 species
UACGUAGGGAGCGAGCGUUGUCCGGAAUUACUGGGUGUAAAGGGUGCGUAGGCGGGGAUGCAAGUCAGAUGUGAAAUGUAUGGGCUCAACCCAUGAACUGCAUUUGAAACUGCAACUCUUGAGUGAGGUAGAGGUAAGCGGAAUUCCUAGUGUAGCGGUGAAAUGCGUAGAUAUUAGGAGGAACAUCGGUGGCGAAGGCGGCUUACUGGGCCUUUACUGACGCUGAGGCACGAAAGCGUGGGGAGCAAAC